UACGAAGGGGGCUAGCGUUGCUCGGAAUCACUGGGCGUAAAGCGCACGUAGGCGGAUUGUUAAGUCAGGGGUGAAAUCCUGGAGCUCAACUCCAGAACUGCCUUUGAUACUGACGGUCUUGAGUCCGGGAGAGGUGAGUGGAACUCCGAGUGUAGAGGUGAAAUUCGUAGAUAUUCGGAAGAACACCAGUGGCGAAGGCGGCUCACUGGCCCGGUACUGACGCUGAGGUGCGAAAGCGUGGGGAGCAAACAGG
rnacentral:rRNA from 1 species